GACGAACGCUGGCGGCGUGCUUAACACAUGCAAGCCGAACGAUGAACUUGGAGCUUGCUCUGGGGGAUUAGUGGCGAACGGGUGAGUAACACGUGAGUAACCUGCCCUGGACUCUGGGAUAACUUCGAGAAAUCGGAGCUAAUACCGGAAAGGACCUUGCACCGCAUGGUGUGGGGUGGAAAGUUUUUCGGUUUGGGAUGGACUCGCGGCCUAUCAGCUUGUUGGUGAGGUAAUGGCUCACCAAGGCGUCGACGGGUAGCCGGCCUGAGAGGGUGACCGGCCACACUGGGACUGAGACACGGCCCAGACUCCUACGGGAGGCAGCAGUGGGGAAUAUUGCAUAAUGGGCGCAAGCCUGAUGCAGCAACGCCGCGUGCGGGAUGACGGCCUUCGGGUUGUAAACCGCUUUUAGUAGGGAAGAAGCCUUCGGGUGACGGUACCUGCAGAAAAAGGACCGGCUAACUACGUGCCAGCCGCCGCGGUAAUAC
rnacentral:rRNA from 1 species